GACCGCGUAGCUCAGUUGGAAGAGCAUUAGGCUAGUAUUCCAAAGGUCGUAGGUUCGAAUCCCACCGUGGCCG
rnacentral:tRNA from 1 species